AGAACGAACGCUGGCGGCAUGCCUAACACAUGCAAGUCGAACGAGACCUUCGGGUCUAGUGGCGCACGGGUGCGUAACGCGUGGGAAUCUGCCCUUGGGUUCGGAAUAACAGCGAGAAAUUGCUGCUAAUACCGGAUGAUGACGUAAGUCCAAAGAUUUAUCGCCCAAGGAUGAGCCCGCGUAGGAUUAGCUUGUUGGUGAGGUAAGAGCUCACCAAGGCGACGAUCCUUAGCUGGUCUGAGAGGAUGAUCAGCCACACUGGGACUGAGACCACGGCCCAGACCUCCGUACGGGAGGCAGCGAGUGGGGAAUUA
rnacentral:rRNA from 1 species